GGGAUUGCCCUAGUAACGGCGAGUGAAGCGGCAACAGCUCAAAUUUGAAAGCUAGCCUUCGGGUUCGCAUUGUAAUUUGUAGAGGAUGAUUUGGGGAAGCCGCCUGUCUAAGUUCCUUGGAACAGGACGUCAUAGAGGGUGAGAAUCCCGUAUGUGACAGGAAAUGGCACCCUAUGUAAAUCUCCUUCGACGAGUCGAGUUGUUUGGGAAUGCAGCUCUAAAUGGGAGGUAAAUUUCUUCUAAAGCUAAAUAUUGGCGAGAGACCGAUAGCGCACAAGUAGAGUGAUCGAAAGAUGAAAAGCACUUUGGAAAGAGAGUUAAAAAGCACGUGAAAUUGUUGAAAGGGAAGCGCUUGCAAUCAGACUUGUUUAAACUGUUCGGCCGGUCUUCUGACCGGUUUACUCAGUUUGGACAGGCCAGCAUCAGUUUCGGCGGCCGGAUAAAGGCUCUGGGAAUGUGGCCUCCACUUCGGUGGAGGUGUUAUAGCCCAGGGUGUAAUACGGCCAGCCGGGACUGAGGUCCGCGCUUCGGCUAGGAUGCUGGCGUAAUGGUUG
rnacentral:rRNA from 1 species